rnacentral:misc_RNA from 1 species
GUGCUCCCCGAGAUGUUUCUCUCCGAUAAUCAUAAACGUUUCAGGUCGACCAUCGAUACGCAGGUAUCGUGGAAAAAGGAUUCGAUUACAUUGGAAAAAGGUGUGCAACGAUCUUUUCGUAAAUUAGACCCGGAGGCACGUGUGAUAGUGGACGCUUUUGGAACACUUUAUCUCAUAGAUGUUUCAACCCAUGAAGAAGGGAACUACACGUGCUACGUCGAUGCAAUUAACAUGAUGCAAUUAAAAGUCACCGUAGUUCCUAAAACUAGACUGCUAACGCAGGAAUUUCUACGCCACUUGGGAUAUCUAGGAUUUAUAUUCCUACUCUGUUCAAUUUGCUACUGCAGUGGCUUGGUUUACACAUUUAGAAACAGAGAGAAGUUUAAAGUAGUGCAACCUGAAAACAUCGCAACCGAAGACGAAGAACCACUGAUCGAUUAAAAUUUAUAUUAGAUGACUGGCGAUGACCUUAAAGGUAGCCGAGUGAAAGGAGCCAUGGGAGGGACAACUGCACGGUGUCUGCUCUUCAUAGUUUAGUUUCAAAAUGGCCGUGUUGGAUGAUUCCUGUCUGUUUGUUGCAUUACUCACGAUCCACGAUUGAGAGCAAAUUGAGACCAGAUCAUAAUCGAAGACGGACUAUCGGUAGAAUGAGGCUUCGGACUGCUGUUGUUGCGGUACUCGCGAUUCUUUGCUUGGUUCUGCCUUGUACAACCGGUUUACUCCGAAGAUGUGUGAAUUGUAGAUCAAGAGGAGAGUUAGGAUCAUGCAAGGAUCCUUUCACUAUGAACGCGACAGAGAUCGAAAUG